AUGGAAGAUGAGCACAAGAAGGAGUGGAAAAAUGCUAUGCAAGAAGAGAUGGAUUCCUUGCAUAAGAAUCAUACUUAUGAGUUGAUGAAGUUGCCCAAGGGCAAGAAAAUUUUGAAGAACAAGUGGGUCUACAGAAUCAAGCAAGAAGAGCGCACAUCACAUCCAAGGUACAAGGCCAGGCUAGUUGUAAAAGGAUUCGGCCAGAGAAAAGGCAUUGACUAUGAUGAGAUCUUUUCUCCGGUUGUGAAGAUGACAUCCAUAAGAGUAAUCCUUGGCAUGGCAGCAAGUCUCAACUUGGAGGUUGAGCAAAUGGAUGUGAAGACUGCAUUCCUUCAUGGUGAGUUGGAGGAAGAAAUAUACAUGGAGCAACCUGAGGGGUUUCUUGUGUAA
rnacentral:rRNA from 1 species